CCUACGGGAGGCAGCAGUGGGGAAUAUUGCACAAUGGGGGAAACCCUGAUGCAGCGACGCCGCGUGAGUGAAGAAGUAUCUCGGUACGUAAAGCUCUAUCAGCAGGGAAGAAAAUGACGGUACCUGACUAAGAAGCCCCGGCUAACUACGGGCCAGCAGCCGCGGUAAUACGUAGGGGGCAAGCGUUAUCCGGAUUUACGGGGGGUAAAGGGAGUGUAGACGGGAGCACAAGUCUGGAGUGAAAUCCCGGGGCUUAACCCCGGAACUGCUUUGGAAACUGUGCGGCUGGAGUGCAGGAGGGGUAAGCGGAAUUCCUAGUGUAGCGGUGAAAUGCGUAGAUAUUAGGAGGAACACCGGUGGCGAAGGCGGCUUACUGGACUGUAACUGACGUUGAGGCUCGAAAGCGUGGGGAGCAAACAGGAUUAGAUACCCCUGUAGUC
rnacentral:rRNA from 1 species